AGUGAACGCUGGCGGCGUGCUUAACACAUGCAAGUCGAACGAGAACGGGUUAUAGCUUGCUAUAAUUGUCAGCUAAGUGGCGCACGGGUGAGUAAUGUAUAGGUAAUAUGCCUCUUACUAAGGGAUAACAAAUGGAAACGUUUGCUAAUACCUUAUACUCCUUAUUAACAUAAGUUAAUAAGGGAAAGAUUUAUUGGUAAGAGAUUAGCCUGUAUUGUAUCAGUUAGUUGGUGGGGUAAUGGCUUACCAAGACUAUGACACAUAACUGGUUUGAGAGGAUGAUCAGUCACACUGGAACUGAGACACGGUCCAGACUCAUACGGGAGGCAGCAGUGGGGAAUAUUGCACAAUGGACGAAAGUCUGAUGCAGCAACGCCGCGUGGAGGAUGACACAUUUCGGUGCGUAAACUCCUUUUAUAUGAGAAGAUAAUGACGGUAUUAUAUGAAUAAGCACCGGCUAACUCCGUGCCAGCAGCCGCGGUAAUAC
rnacentral:rRNA from 1 species